rnacentral:tmRNA from 1 species
GGGGAUGAUCGGCUUCGACGAUGAGUCCCAUCUUCGGAUUACCGCAUGUCGAGCCCCAACAACUCGUUAAAAGGUUGGACUUGAUACGUGCAAACGUAGCAAAAGCGAAAGAGCGAGUUCUCUCGCCUUUCCAACUAGCGCCUGCCUUCGCGUAAGCGCCGUUUCUCUGAUUCAUUCCUGAUACGUUAGAGAAGCGUCAUCUAUUCAGGAUACGAGAAUCUUUUUGUCUGACUGAUUCUCCGACAACCUAAGACUCGGUAAUGAGAUAUUUUGUGAGUUUUGAGUCUCAUUACUUAAAUUACUAAACUCUCUAAACAUGUAGACGUGCCAAAGAUCACUUAUUGCACGGGGGUUCGAUUCCCCCCAUCUCCAC